rnacentral:rRNA from 1 species
GACGAACGCUGGCGGCGUGCCUAAUACAUGCAAGUCGAACGCAGUGGGGACGGGUGAGUAACACGUGGGUAAUCUGCCAUCAGAGGGGAUAACACUUGGAUACAGGUGCUAAACCGAUAUUGGUGGAUGGAGCCGCGGUGCAUUAGGUAGGUGGUGGGGUAACGGCUCACCAAGGCCACGAUGCAUACCGGACCGGAGAGGGUGAGCGGCCACACUGGGACUGAGACACGGCCCAGACUCCUACGGGAGGCAGCAGUAGGGAAUCUUCGGCAAUGGACGAAAGUUUGACCGAGCAACGCCGCGUGAGUGAAGAAGGUUUUCGGAUCGUAAAACUCUGUUGUUGGAGAAGCGGUAUCUAACGAGAAAGCCACGGCUAACUACGUGCCAGCAGCCGCGGUAAUUC